AGGACGAACGCUGGCGGCGUGCCUAACACAUGCAAGUCGAACGGAACUGUUUGAUUGAUUCUUCGGAUGAAAGAUUUCAGUUAGUGGCGGACGGGUGAGUAACGCGUGAGUAACCUGCCUCUGAGAGGGGAAUAACGUUCUGAAAAGAACGCUAAUACCGCAUAACACAUAAUUACCGCAUGGUGAAUAUGUCAAAGAUUUUAUCGCUCGGAGAUGGACUCGCGUCCGAUUAGUUAGUUGGUGAGGUAACGGCUCACCAAGACCGCGAUCGGUAGCCGGACUGAGAGGUUGAACGGCCACAUUGGGACUGAGACACGGCCCAGACUCCUACGGGAGGCAGCAGUGGGGGAUAUUGCGCAAUGGGGGCAACCCUGACGCCAGCAACGCCGCGUGAAGGAUGAAGGUUUUCGGAUUGUAAACUUCUUUUAUCAGGGACGAAGAUUGACGGUACCUGAUGAAUAAGCUCCGGCUAACUACGUGCCAGCAGCCGC
rnacentral:rRNA from 1 species